rnacentral:misc_RNA from 1 species
GCGGAAGUUACUAAAAUUCUCCAACCAGUUCUUCUUCCUCCUUUCUUCCAUAAACUAGACGGAACCACUAAUUCCCAUUUUAGAUUGUGUAGAAGAAACAGACGCAACAUCAGUAUCCGUUGUUCUUCAAUUUCUACAACUGAAACUAACAAAUCCACAAAGACUCAGAACAUUCCAUGGGGUUGCGAGACUGAUUCUAUAGAAAAUGCGUCCAAUUUGCAGAAAUGGUUGACGGAAUCAGGGCUUCCUGCUCAAAAAUUGGACUUACAAAGAGUGAAUGUUGGAGAAAGAGGACUUGUUGCUAACAACAAUAUUAGGAAAGGGGAAAGGCUGCUUUUUGUUCCUCCUUCACUUGUCAUCACUGCUGAU